GCCCCGCCCCCAGGGGUGAGGGGUCACGGGUCGCAUAGGACCUGCCGCGCAUCGCUUUCCCACGCCCCGGUCCGAUGGCUCCCGCGCAGCGCUGCCCUCUGUGCCGCCAGACCUUCUUCUGCGGCCGCGGGCACGUCUACAGCCGCAAGCACCGGCGGCAGCUGCAGGCGGCUUUGGACCGGCUCCUGCCCCAGGUGGAGGCCGCCCGCAAGGCCGUCCGCUCGGCGCAGGUGGAGCGGUACGUGCCCGAGCACGAGCGGCGCUGCUGGUGCCUGUGCUGCGGCUGUGAGGUGCGCACACACCUCAGCCACGGGAGCCUGACGGUGCUGCACGGGGGGCUGCUGGAGCACCUGGCCAGCCCAGAGCAUAAGAAAGCAACAAACCGAUUCUGGUGGGAGAACAAGGCUGAGUUUCAGAUGAAAGAGAAGUUUCUCAUCUCCCCUCAAGAGUAUGCACAAUUCAAGAAAUCCAUGGUAAAAGGUUUGGAUUCCUAUGAGGAAAAAGAGGACGAGGUGAUCAAAGAGAUGGCAGCUCAUAUUCGAGAGGUGGAGCACAGCCGGCAGGAGGUGGUUCGGUCCAUCUUAGAGUCUCAGGCAGUGCCAGACCCAGAAGAGGGCUCUUCGGCACCUGGAAGCUGGAAAGGGACAACCAGUCAAAUAACCUCCACCUCACAGUGGCCCUUAUACUUGGACCUGCCACCUGCCCCAGAACUUGACUGGAUGGAGACAGGACAACCUCUGACAUUCAUUGGUCAUCAGGUACAAUGGACAAGCAAGCCAGGAAAGCACAGAUGCCCCUCAGCUCCCAAGACACCCAUCUCUCCCAGGUUUCCUACCCAGUCUGCACUGCAGGGUUUUCUUGCCGAAUUGUUUUCUAGUAGUGUUUCUCACCCUCCAUCCACACCUGUUGUCCCCACCACCACUUAGGAGUACCAACACCCAACUUAUAUCAUCUGGAGAAGCCACUGGUCCAGUUUAUUACCUUCCCAGGUGUCCCACAGGCAUCUGUAAUUAACCCCCUCCUGCAUUUCCAAUAGGCUUAGAUGCAGAUCCUCUCCCCUCCAUCUUCCAAUCCUAUCAAGUAUGUCCAUUUGACCUCAGUACAUUGUUGGUCUCUUGAAAUAGUUCCUAGCCCUCCCCCCUGAAUUCCUAUUUCCGACACACACAAAAUCAUCGCAUCACCUGCUGUCUUGUCUUUUUUUCUAAUUUCAGAGAGGAAGGGAGAGGGACAGAUAUAGAAACAUCAAUGAUGAGAGAGAAUCAUGGAUCGGCUGCCUCCUGCACACCCCAUACUGGGGAUGGAGCCCACAACCGAAGCAUGUGCCCUGACUGGGAAUCAAACCAGUGACCUGGUCAAUGCUCAACCUCUGAGCCACACCAGCCAGGCCUCUCUUUAGUCUUUACUCCAGCUGUACUGUGCUCUUCCCUUUGUGCGCAUGCAGUUGCUGUUGCUUUAAACAUGCUUUCUUUUCCUCAUCACCUAGUUACCUCCAGAUUUUAGCUCAAAUGUCACACUUCCUGGAAGGCUUAUCUGAAGUCAUCUCGUAUAAAUGGACAUAGUACCAUGUAAAAGUCUGUGAAUGUAACUUGUGCUUAUUCUCUUCCCAACAUGUAUGUUGUGAGAAAAGGGUUUUGUUUACCUGGCAUAUAGCAGGCACAUCUUCUCUAUGAAGACCAUGAGUCUCUUGUGGACUGGACUUGCAACGGUUUACUGUGCUCUUAGGAAUUAGCAUCAACAGGGCACAGAAUUAGCAUUGUGGCAUUGGUUCCACCCACCUCCUACAAAGUUUGCCCUUUCUCUAGCUGUGCCACACCGCCCUGGAUGGCCCAAGAUGAGGAACACAGCUCUGGGAACCAACAAAUAGGACCUUCCUAUGAAGAAUUUCUUAAAGAAA